UACGUAGGGGCAAGCGUUGUCCGGAUUUAUUGGGCGUAAAGAGCGUGUAGGCGGCCAAGCAGGUCAGCUGUGAAAACUCGAGGCUCAACCUCGAGACGCCGGUGGAAACCAUCAGACUAGAGUCCGGAAGAGGAGAGUGGAAUUCCUGGUGUAGCAGUGAAAUGCGUAGAGAUCAUGAGGAAGACCAGUGGCGAAGGCGGGUCUCUGGACAGUUCCUGACACUGAGGCACGAAGGCCAGGGGAGCAAACGGG
rnacentral:rRNA from 1 species